rnacentral:tRNA from 1 species
GCACCUGUGGCGGAACUGGCAGACGCGCUAGACUUAGGAUCUAGUCUCGAAAGGGGUGCAGGUUCGAUUCCUGUCAGGUGCACCA